GUGCCGAUCGCGUCACCUUGUACCUUCCCCUCACGCCUUACUAAUUACAUCCGCGAUCCGCCUCACCUCCUACUUCCAUAAGGUGGCUUCGGGCAGGAAAAAAGAAAUUCCAUUGCCUCAUUUUCGGAGGAUGGCGUCGAGUAUUCUUGUGAGAAAGAUAUUGCUGAUAGCGCAGUGGACCUUAGUUCCUCUUGCUAGACUUUCAUGAAGAGGAAAUUAGGGAUGCAGUAUUCUCUUUGGGUGGAUCUAUGGCUCCAGGACCAGACUUCUUCUCCUUCUCCUUCUUCCAAAGGUACUAGAUCUCCAUCAAGGAUGAUCUGUUGGCUCUUUUGGAGGACUUUCGCAAGGCUCCUAUUCAACCUCUGCUUACUGUCAUUUGCAAAGUCUCGAGCUUUGGUUUAAUUGAAAUGCUUUCAUCUCGUUUUGUUGAAUUUGCAAUGGCACAGUAUGUUGUCUUUCAAGGAUUGUUCUUGUUUCUUCUUUUGGUGGAGUCUUACAACAAAGGAAGGAAGCAUUCUGAUAGAAAGCUAAAUGGAAUCAAAGACCAGUCUGAUAAGAAGCUGAACUUAACUCCUAAUUAUUAGCCAGGUGUGAUCUUCUCCUCAUCAUAUUGCUUGCUGUUUCAUUUACUUUUUUUCACUAGCUGUUACUUAUUCCCCUCCUGCCUUCACAUGGUACAUUCCAUCUCAUAUAUAUAUAUUUCUCUCACAUAUUGGUGGUUCAGCCUCCCCUGCCCUCUCUCUCUCUCUCUCUCUCUCUCUCUCUCUCUCUCUCUCUCUCUCUCUAUAUAUAUAUAUAUAUAUAUAUAUAUAUAUAUAUAUAUAUUCUCUUAUUCCAAAGAAGGAUGGCGUGCUUACUGCCCGUGACUUCAAACCUAUUAGCCUCCUUUAACAGCUUAUCCAAAGUGAUCGCAAAGAUUUUGGCAGCCAGAUUGGCCACCUUUCUCCUAAACUGGUCGAUGAGUCUCAUUCUGCCUUCAUUAAGGGCCGCUCCAUCAUUGAGAAUUUCCUUUCAGCUCAUGAGAUGAUGGCAUACUGCAGAAAAUUUGUCAUAAAGGGAUUCUCUGUAAGUUGGAUUUUGAGAAGGUCUUCAAGAAGGCUAGUUGCGAAUUUCUUUCUGCAAUGUUCUGGGCUAGAAGCUUUCUUUCCAGGUGGAUUAGUUGGUUGCAAGGACUCCUUUCAUCAACCUCAAAUGCAGUCUUACUUAGUGGUUCUCCGGGCAAAUGGAUCAAGUGCAAGUAGGGAUUGAGAUAAGGUGACCCACUCUCUCCGGCACUCUUCAUAUUGGUUACUGAUCAUAUUCUGGCUACAAUUCUUAAGCAGGCUAGCUCCCUCGGAAUUAUAGAAGGUAAUUGCCUGAGCUUCAAUGGCAUCAGAAGUCUCCACUUUAUUGACGACACGCUCCUUUUCAGUGCUGGUAAGAGACAUAGUAUUCUAGUCGCCAAAGCCAUACUUGUUGCUUUUGAGCAGGCUGUCAGGGUAAAGAUUAAUUUUUACAAAGGCUCGAUCUUGUGCAUUAACAUGGAUGAAGAGGAAGCUGCAAACUUUGCCACUAUGAUGAACUUACCUACCUCGGCCUGCCUCUUUUUGGCAGAAAACUUCCAAAACAUUGUUGGUUGCCUUUACUUGAAAAAAUUGGCUCGAGACUUGCAUCCAGGAAAGAAAAAUUCCUCUCUUUUGGUGGUGGACUAACCUCGAUCAAUGUCGUCCUCACAGCUUUGUCGUCCUAUCUUAUGUCAAUAUUUAAGCUUCCAAGAUGGGUAACCAAUAGAAGUGACCAGAUGAGAAUAUCUUUUUUCGUGGAAAGUGAAAAGGAAUGUUAGCAGGGUUCAUUGUCUUGUCAAGUGGGACUGUGUUUGACGUUCAAAGAAGGAAGGGGAGUUUGGAAUCAAGAACAUUAAGGAUUCGAAUCUUGCCCUACUGGCAAAGUGGGCUUGCAAAUUGCUCUCUGUGCUAGUGCCUAGUGCCACUUGCUUUAAACAAAUCAAAAGUGCUUACUACUCCCGAAAAGGAUUUGAAUAAGAUCUACAUGCUUUUUGGAACUGCACAGCUUCCAAGUUUGGAAAUGGAAACGGCAUCAGAUUCUAAGAGGAUGCAUGCAUUGGGUCAAUACCAGUUGCUCUUCUCUUUAGUGAUCUUUUCUCUAAAGCUUCUAAAGAAAAUGUUUCUGUGGCCUCUCAAUAGAGUGGGAGAACCCAUUGUUGGAGAAUUAGACUGCAAGGACCCCUAACUCAGCUUCAGAAUGCCCAAUUUGAGCACUCCAAUUAGACCAAGUAGGCAUGAGGACGUCCUAGUGUUUAAAGUCAUAAGAAAUAGCAGUUUCUCAAUUAGCUCCUUCUACAAUUUCAUUAAUAGUGGCGGUCAGCAUUGUCCUUUUUACAAAAUCAUUUGGAAAUCCAUGGUCCCAUAGAAGGUGAAGGUUUUCAUUUGGCUAGCCUUACAAAACAAGCUGCAUACAGAAGAGGUACUUGCAAAGAAAGGUUUGUCGAUAAGUUUCGGAUGCCCCUUUUGUGGUUCUAGUUCUGAGAUCGUAUCACACUUAUUCCUUAGAUAUUCUUCUGUGCGGAGUAUUCUUUCUAUCUUCAAGACAUGCUUGAACAUAAGAGGUUGGCCGGCCAACUUUCUCUCGCUUGUCUUCUUGGAGGAGCAAGAGAGUUCAACAAUCAUUUAGAAGGGCGUGCUAUUGAUGCCAUCCAUUUAUAAUGUUUGGCAAGAAAGAAAUGGUAGAAUCUUUCGCAAGAAGAAGAACUCUAUAUUCACCACUCUACAAAAGAUCCUAAACUCUUUCCGGCUAUAGGAGAUUCUCUAUUCUGCAAAGGAGGAGGAUCACAAAUUGAUCUUGGAUAGCUUGUCUUCUUUGGUUACCCACCAUAGCUUAACUAAAUGUUUCUGUUUUGCUGACUUCUCCUUCUCCAUAUUUGUAACUCUUUGUACAUUCAUUUGAUCAAUAAAUCGGGGGAAGUUUCUCACUUCCUCCAUUUCACUUCAAAAAAAAAAAAAUCUUAGGUUCA